UACGGGGGGGGCAAGCGUUGUUCGGAAUUACUGGGCGUAAAGGGCUCGUAGGUGGCCAACUAAGUCAGACGUGAAAUCCCUCGGCUUAACCGGGGAACUGCGUCUGAUACUGGAUGGCUUGAGUUUGGGAGAGGGACGCGGAAUUCCAGGUGUAGCGGUGAAAUGCGUAGAUAUCUGGAGGAACACCAAUGGCGAAGGCAGCUCGCUGGGACGGUACUGACGCUGAGGCGCGAAAGCGUGGGGAGCAAACAGG
rnacentral:rRNA from 1 species